UACGAAGGGUGCAAACGUUGUUCGGAAUCAUUGGGCGUAAAGCGCACGUCGGCGGCUUUGCAAGUCGGGUGUGAAAGCCUGGGGCUCAACCCCAGAAGUGCAUUCGAAACUGCAGAGCUUGAGUCUUGGAGAGGGUGGUGGAAUUCCGAGUGUAGAGGUGAAAUUCGUAGAUAUUCGGAGGAACACCAGUGGCGAAGGCGACCACCUGGACAAAGACUGACGCUGAGGUGCGAAAGCGUGGGGAGCAAACAGG
rnacentral:rRNA from 1 species